AUUGAACGCUGGCGGCAGGCCUAACACAUGCAAGUCGAACGAGUGGCGGACGGGUGAGUAAUGUCUGGGAAACUGCAUGAUGGAGGGGGAUAACUACUGGAAAAGGUAGCUAAUACCGCAUACCAUCGGAUGUGCCAAGAUGGGAGUAGCUAGUAGGUGGGGUAAAGGCUCACCUAGGCGACGAUCCCUAGCUGGUCUGAGAGGAUGACCAGACACACUGGAACUUAGACACUGUCCAGACUCCUACGGUAGGCAGCAGUGGGGAAUAUUGCACAAUUGGCGCAAGCCUGAUGCAGCCAUGCCGCGUGUGUGAAGAAGGCCUUCGGGUUGUAAAGCACUUUCAGCGAGGAGGCGUUACUCGCAGAAGAAGCACCGGCUAACUCCGUGCCAGCCGCCGCGGUAAUAC
rnacentral:rRNA from 1 species